CUCAUAUUUUCCCAAAGAACUAUAUAUUUAUCUGGUAUUAAAUGGUCAAAACAUGCCCAAGAAUUUUGUAAUAUUCCUGGACUUAAGCCAUGUUAACACAUUUACUUCAAUAUUAUUCAAAAUAAGUGGACCCCUCUUUAAGAAUAGUAAUGUUGUUUAAAAUAUGAUAUAUUUCUCCUCUUUUUAAGUAAAUUUUUUUUAAGUUCUUCAAAGGAUUUGUAUAGUAACACUAUGCAAAUCCUUGGUAUUUCUUUUUUUCUUUUAAUACAACAGUAAAAUGACCCCAUAUGUGCUCUGUCUGAGGGAUUAUAGCAAAUACACAGGUCAUAGUAUGUACGGCAGGGCUGUGACCCAGACCUAACAACAAGCUAUAAGGGACCCCAAAAUUAUAAGUGUACACAAUUCGAACAGGAAAACCAACGAUCUAAUUUAUAUAUUAUAUACAAACGGGAAAAUACCAAAUAAUAUUUAUGAACAUCAACCAACGAUAUCUAACAGCUGAACGACAGGCCCCUGAAUCAAUCAGGACAGGUGCAUAAACAUGCAGGGGGGUAUGGAUAGUUUUGUAUCGCCAGCAUAUUGCAGUUGAAGGCAUUUCUUUCCGAAGUUCUUUGAAGUUUAUUACUAACAACGAACAUAUUUUGAUAGGGAAUGUAAGUAAGGGGGAAGGAAACCAAUGUUUUGUUCUGUACAGGUAUUUUCUUCUGUUUUCUAAUUAUUACGGAGCACUCCCAUUUGGGAUAAAUGGGUUUCAUGCUGAAUCAAAUAUUAUCACAGACAUUGACACAGUGUACUUGGGUGCUUAUAUGUUUAAAAUCGUUAUAAAUACAGGUUAGAUUGUGAUUAUAAAAACAAGUGCAAAUAUCUGUUUAUAAUAUUUACAAAAAAAAAACGGUGCGGGAAAUGGACACGAUUACAUUUCCGGAUGCGGGAAGCGGGAAUAUAAAAAAAAUAAAAAAAUUCUACUUUGAAAAAAAUAGGUGCGGGCGGGUCCGUCGAACAAGGAAUUAAAUUGGUGUGGCGUAAG
rnacentral:lncRNA from 1 species